GGCUUCCCCUUGCCCACUAACGCGCCGCUCACACAUGGAGUCGCGGCGUCACCCGGCGGAGCAUGCGCGGGGCCGGGCCCGUCCUGGGCCGCGGGGCCGGGCCGGGGCCGGAGCAGCGGCAGCAGCACCAGCAGCAGUAGUGGCAGCAGUGGCAGCAGUAGUGGCAGUGGCAGCAGUAGUGGCAGUAGCGGCAGCAGCAACAGCAACCGCGCGGGGGCCCGGCGCCGCUUCCGGGCAAUGGUGGAGCAGAUCUGCCAAAGACCAUCUCCAGCUCCCAAAACUGGUCCUCCGCAGCCCGGCGCAGAUCGCUUCGGUUAGGCUCGUGACCUGCAGCUUCGGACACAAACGUUUCGCUGGCAAACAGAGAAGAAUUAACUAG
rnacentral:lncRNA from 1 species